GGAAGUUUGGCAGAGCGGUUGAAUGCACCAGUCUUGAAAACUGGCGUGGGUUAAUAGCCUACCGGGGGUUCGAAUCCCUCAACUUCCG
rnacentral:tRNA from 2 species